CUGAGAGGAUGAUCAGCCACACUGGAAUUGAGACACGGUCCAGACUCCUACGGGAGGCAGCAGUGGGGAAUAUUGCACAAUGGGCGCAAGCCUGAUGCAGCCAUGCCGCGUGUGUGAAGAAGGCCUUCGGGUUGUAAAGCACUUUCAGUCGUGAGGAAGGUAGUGUAGUUAAUAGCUGCAUUAUUUGACGUUAGCGACAGAAGAAGCACCGGCUAACUCCGUGCCAGCAGCCGCGGUAAUACGGAGGGUGCGAGCGUUAAUCGGAAUUACUGGGCGUAAAGCGCAUGCAGGUGGUUUGUUAAGUCAGAUGUGAAAGCCCGGGGCUCAACCUCGGAAUAGCAUUUGAAACUGGCAGACUAGAGUACUGUAGAGGGGGGUAGAAUUUCAGGUGUAGCGGUGAAAUGCGUAGAGAUCUGAAGGAAUACCGGUGGCGAAGGCGGCCCCCUGGACAGAUACUGACACUCAGAUGCGAAAGCGUGGGGAGCAAACAGGAUUAGAUACCCUGGUAGUCCACGCCGUAAACGAUGUCUACUUGGAGGUUGUGGCCUUGA
rnacentral:rRNA from 1 species